GACGAACGCUGGCGGCGUGCCUAAUACAUGCAAGUUGAGCGAUGAAGAUUGGUGCUUGCACCAAUUUGAAGAGCAGCGAACGGGUGAGUAACGCGUGGGGAAUCUGCCUUUGAGCGGGGGACAACAUUUGGAAACGAAUGCUAAUACCGCAUAACAACUUUAAACAUAAGUUUUAAGUUUGAAAGAUGCAAUUGCAUCACUCAAAGAUGAUCCCGCGUUGUAUUAGCUAGUUGGUGAGGUAAAGGCUCACCAAGGCGAUGAUACAUAGCCGACCUGAGAGGGUGGUCGGCCACAUUGGGACGGAGACACGGCCCAAACUCCUACGGGAGGCAGUAGUAGGGAAUCUUCGGCAAUGGACGAAAGUCUGACCGAGCAACGCCGCGUGAGUGAAGAAGGUUGUCGGAUCGUAAAACUCUGUUGGUAGAGAAGAACGUUGGUGAGAGUGGAAAGCUCAUCAAGUGACGGUAACUACCCAGAAAGGGACGGCUAACUACGUG
rnacentral:rRNA from 1 species